UACGAAGGGGGCUAGCGUUGCUCGGAAUCACUGGGCGUAAAGGGUGCGUAGGCGGGUCUUUAAGUCAGGGGUGAAAUCCUGGAGCUCAACUCCAGAACUGCCUUUGAUACUGAAGAUCUUGAGUUCGGGAGAGGUGGAGUGGAACUGGCGAGUGUAGAGGUGAAAUUCGUAGAUAUUCGCAAGAACACCAGUGCGAGGCGGACUCACUGGCCCGAUACUGACGCUGAGGCACGAAAGCGUGGGGAG
rnacentral:rRNA from 1 species